rnacentral:lncRNA from 12 species
GGAGCUGGAGCCACUUGAGAUGAGUGAUUUGUAAGUAGAAAGUAGUUUGAGUUUCACUUUUUGGAACUGAUGGUGAAGGGGCAGGGUUGGCUCGUUUCUAAUGCAGUGUUUUCCAGACACCAUGAGUACCCAGAUACCAGAGGGGAAAACAAGUGUAGCCUUGCCCUGAGGGCCCCAGGAAGCCUGUGAGAAUUUAGAAGAUACGCUGGUGAGACAAGGUUGGAGAAGCAAUACUGGGAUGGCAGAGCUAUUUCUGCCUGUCAGUUCUUUCUAAUCCCAAAGCUGCAGAAACAGCUGGAGCUACUGCUUACACUCCUUUCUUCUGAGAGCAAGAGUCCUCACAAAGAAGUGUAUUUUUCCAAGUGUGCAGCUUUCUGGCUGCUAUUUUUGCUGUGCUGUCUGAUAUGCUCCAGUGGCAUGAUG